CUAAGAAUCUUGCGCAAUGGGCGAAAGCCUGACGCAGCAACGCCGCGUGGGGGAGGAAGGCCUUCGGGUCGUAAACCCCUUUUGCGAGGGAAGAAGUUCUGACGGUACCUCGCGAAUAAGUCACGGCUAACUACGUGCCAGCAGCCGCGGUAAUACGUAGGUGACAAACGUUGUCCGGAUUUAUUGGGCGUAAAGAGCCCGCAGGCGGCUUGACAAGUUUCAGGUGAAAUCUCCCGGCUCAACUGGGAGGGGUCUUGGAAAACUGUCAGGCUUGAGGCAGGAAGGGGGAUGCGGAAUUCCGUGUGUAGCGGUGAAAUGCGUAGAUAUACGGAGGAACACCAGCGGCGAAGGCGGCAUCCUGGUCCUGACCUGACGCUCAGGGGCGAAAGCGUGGGGAGCAAACCGGAUUAGAUACCCGGGUAGUCCACGCUGUAAACGAUGAGUACUAGGAGUUGGGGGUAUCGACCCCCUCAGUUCCGAAACUAACGCGAUAAGUACUCCGCCUGGGGACUACGGCCGCAAGGCUA
rnacentral:rRNA from 1 species